rnacentral:rRNA from 1 species
UACGUAGGGGGCAAGCGUUGUCCGGAAUCAUUGGGCGUAAAGAGCGUGUAGGCGGCUCGGUAAGUCCGCUGUGAAAGUCCAGGGCUCAACCCUGGAAUGCCGGUGGAAACUGUCGAGCUAGAGUCCGGAAGAGGCGAGUGGAAUUCCUGGUGUAGCGGUGAAAUGCGCAGAUAUCAGGAGGAACACCGGUGGCGAAGGCGGCCCCCUGGGCCGUACCUGACGCUGAGGCGCGAAGGCUAGGGGAGCGAACGGG